GCAAUUUAUCAUGCUUUGUCAUUCUCAGUCUGGCUUUCAUAUGAACAGCCAUUAAAAACACACAUUGACAUGACAACUAUCCUUUUCUUAAUACCAUACUGACAAGGUUUUCAAAACUCAGCCUGAGAGCAAACAUAUUUGAGCUUGUUGAACAGACUAAAUGCAUAUUUCACUGAUGUCUGAAUUUAUAAAACAUUGCAUACUUUUAUUCCAUAAAU